GAGUUUGAUCCUGGCUCAGAUUGAACGCUGGCGGCAGGCCUAACACAUGCAAGUCGAGCGGUAGAGAGAAGCUUGCUUCUCUUGAGAGCGGCGGACGGGUGAGUAAUGCCUAGGAAUCUGCCUAGUGGUGGGGGAUAACGUUCGGAAACGGACGCUAAUACCGCAUACGUCCUACGGGAGAAAGCGGGGGAUCUUCGGACCUCGCGCCAUUAGAUGAGCCUAGGUCGGAUUAGCUAGUUGGUGAGGUAAAGGCUCACCAAGGCGACGAUCCGUAACUGGUCUGAGAGGAUGAUCAGUCACACUGGAGCUGAGACACGGUCCAGACUCCUACGGGAGGCAGCAGUGGGGAAUAUUGGACAAUGGGCGAAAGCCUGAUCCAGCCAUGCCGCGUGUGUGAAGAAGGUCUUCGGAUUGUAAAGCACUUUAAGUUGGGAGGAAGGGUAGUAACUUAAUACGUUGCUACUUUGACGUUACCGACAGAAUAAGCACCGGCUAACUUCGUGCCAGCAGCCGCGGUAAUACGAAGGGUGCAAGCGUUAAUCGGAAUUACUGGGCGUAAAGCGCGCGUAGGCGGUAUGUUAAGUUGGAUGUGUAAGCCCCGGGCUCAACCUGGGAAUUGCAUUCAAAACUGGCAUGCUANAGUAUGUGAGAGGGGGGUAGAAUUCCAAGUGUAGCGGUGAAAUGCGUAGAGAUUUGGAGGAAUACCAGUGGGCGAAAGCGGCCCCCUGGCACAAUACUGACCUGAGGUGCGAAAGCNUGGGGAGCAAACAGGAUUANAUACCCUGGUAGUCCACGCCGUAAACGAUGUCUNCUAGCUGUUCGUGGUCUUGUNCCGNAAUAUCGCAUCUAACGCACUAUGUAGANCGCCUGGGGAGUACGGNCNNGGAUUGAACUCAAUGGAUUGUAGGGGGGCCCGCGAACGGGGGGAGCAUGUGGUU
rnacentral:rRNA from 1 species